rnacentral:rRNA from 1 species
AGUGAACGCUGGCGGUAGGCCUAACACAUGCAAGUCGAGCGGCAGCACAGUAAGAGCUUGCUCUUACGGGUGGCGAGUGGCGGACGGGUGAGGAAUACAUCGGAAUCUACUUUUUCGUGGGGGAUAACGUAGGGAAACUUACGCUAAUACCGCAUACGCCCUACGGGUGAAAGCAGGGGAUCUUCGGACCUUGCGCGAUUGAAUGAGCCGAUGUCGGAUUAGCUAGUUGGCGGGGGAAAGGCCCACCAAGGCGACGAUCCGUAGCUGGUCUGAGAGGAUGAUCAGCCACACUGGAACUGAGACACGGUCCAGACUCCUACGGGAGGCAGCAGUGGGGAAUAUUGGACAAUGGGCGCAAGCCUGAUCCAGCCAUACCGCGUGGGUGAAGAAGGCCUUCGGGUUGUAAAGCCCUUUUGUUGGGAAAGAAAAGCAGCAGGUUAAUACCCCGCUGUUCUGACGGUACCCAAAGAAUAAGCACCGGCUAACUUCGUG